rnacentral:lncRNA from 1 species
CAAAUGUUUAAUACUGGCCAUUAUUUUCUUUCUGCUAACUUUGGCAGGCAUUUCACAUGUCUCAUCCAUAAAUAAUUAAAGAAGUAGCUGCUGUAACCUUUGGAGAAAAACUUGAGUGUCCAAGGUUACAAUCUAACAGGAAGCAGCAUGUGCAGAUUUAUGUUAUCUAAUGUUCAGGAUCACCUCCAUUCCUUUGAAAACUGCCAGUAGAAGGGUGAGAGAAAUAAGCCAGGAGAUCAGAGCAAGAGCGCUACAAGCUGUAACAAGAUUUAGCUAAUAGUAUACCAGAAAAACGAAAUGUAAUUACAGGAACUAUUUGAUCACAUCACUCCACAGACAUAUCAACGGCUGACAGCUCAAGCUGAUAAGUAUACAGUUUUUUAUUAUUUCAGUCAAAUGUUUAAAUGCAAAUAUUUCUCAUACUUUUUCAUUAUUUCUGCUGUAGUUUAAAGAAAACAAUCAUAAAGAGGAGGUAAGAAUGUCUUUCUCUUCAGGAGUUUCUCCCUUGAACAGACAUAUUGAUUUCUUUCUGUUUUCAUCUAUGAAGACAUUGAAAAGAAAUCCUGAACUGUAUUACAUAGUGUAAGUCCAUAGUAAUUCCAUUAAAGGGACUCCAUUGUAGUAAUUCUGGUUUGACUCUAAUCAAGA